ensembl:lncRNA
UCACCUUCCACCUUUCUCAUCAAAUGCCAUUUUCGCCCACAUGACUGCCGCUGUUUGGUGGUUUGUCACACCGUUCUCUGUAAACACUAGAAUCUAUCAUGUGUGAAAAGUCUGUGGGGUGGGGGGUCAGUUUCUGUGCUCAAUGUUGCUUGGGUCACUCAUUACGCCCGUUCUGACGUUUAGUCAAGCAGUAACCGAACACCUCGAUGCCUGUCUGCCCGCUUAAAACAGCAAGUCCCAGCCACGUUGUCAUGGACUGAUCCAUUUUCGUGAACGUGGUGUUGUACCUAAUAAACUAGCCACUGACUUUAUCUUCAUUUUAAGUGUUUUGUUUCUCCUAUAAUCACUGGAGUCUGAAUGUAUUGAUGGAUGCACAUGUUGGCUCAGUCGUCGCUAGCUGUGCUGCAGGCCUGGAACAGAACUAAGGAUCCAUCAAGGGGAGAUGGCCUCUGGGGCUCCUAUAAUGACAUUGAUCAGACGUUUUACCAUUGACUCUGCUGCCGAGCAUGACUUCCAGUAUGACAGUUACAUACUGCGCUACUGUUUCUGACAGUGUCUUCCAUGUGUCUGUAAUUGGUUGUUGACAUUUUAAGGUUAAGUACAGCUUUUUUGGAUUUCUGUGUGUGUAUGUGUGUGUGUGUGUGUGUAAUUAUUAUUAGGCUGAAAAGGGGUUUUCCCUCGAUAGCACAGUAAGAUAUCAUUGGGGAAUCCCAUGGUGGCAUAGUAAGAUGUCUCUGUCUAGCUUCAGCACAACUGCUUUCUAAUAACAGGGAGAUUCUGAAUGAACAGAAGUGAUAUUACUGUAAUCAGCCUCGCCGAUCAUCACCAUCAGCCUGAUAAAAAAACACCUCAGGAGUGAGCAGUCAGGCACCAAAAAAACGUUUGAAAUAAACCCUAUGGGCCUUAGUGAAUUUUGCACUGUAUAGGCUUUAGUGUGUCAUGUCAAACACAGCACUUGUCUCAUGCGUUCAAUGUUGUUCUAUGGUCGCUACUAAUCAGUGACAGCUAACAUGAGCGGUUAGAUUUACUGAAGAUGAUCUUACACUUUGGUCAUGAGGAAUUGAAUCCAUGCACAACAUCACGUGACAGUCUGAAGGCCGACACACGGACUCAGGAUGGUCAGUUCUGGGAAUUGCAUGCCAGGAUGCUAACAAUCUCCGGAGCAGGGGCGAUGCGGUUUCAUCUAUCAAUUUUAACAGACCAAAAGCACAUUCGACAGGCACUGACACGGAGCAAUUUCUUUCAGGCUCUGUGUGAUCCUAACCAAUACUAAACGUGCAGCGACAAACAAAAUUCCGGAUGUUUCCUGGUAAAAUAACAGCAAUAAAAUCAGCAAUACGUGACUAGAUCCUACGUGCUGGAGAAGACAGGACAUGUUUCUUUAAGUUUUAGAGUUGUUUUGUGGAUCUGCCUUCAGCUCAACGCUUCCAGCUCGCUGACUGAAUGUAAUAGAUUUGCAUGGCUUGAUCCCUGGUGAAAUCUGUCAAAUGAAUUUAACAACAUUAAUAAUGUGAAAUUAAGGGCCUUCUUUACUUGAGGGUGUCCAGCUUUUAUCAUAUCUUGUGGAAGCUGCAGCUUUCCCUGCAGACAUAAUUGACACAAUCCCUGUUGCAAUUCCUCCUUUGCUGAUCUACAGAAAAUAAUAAACGUUUAC